rnacentral:rRNA from 1 species
AUGGAGAGUUUGAUCCUGGCUCAGGAUGAACGCUGGCGGCGUGCCUAAUACAUGCAAGUCGAGCGAACGGACGAGAAGCUUGCUUCUCUGAUGUUAGCGGCGGACGGGUGAGUAACACGUGGAUAACCUACCUAUAAGACUGGGAUAACUUCGGGAAACCGGAGCUAAUACCGGAUAAUAUUUUGAACCGCAUGGUUCAAAAGUGAAAGACGGUCUUGCUGUCACUUAUAGAUGGAUCCGCGCUGCAUUAGCUAGUUGGUAAGGUAACGGCUUACCAAGGCAACGAUGCAUAGCCGACCUGAGAGGGUGAUCGGCCACACUGGAACUGAGACACGGUCCAGACUCCUACGGGAGGCAGCAGUAGGGAAUCUUCCGCAAUGGGCGAAAGCCUGACGGAGCAACGCCGCGUGAGUGAUGAAGGUCUUCGGAUCGUAAAACUCUGUUAUUAGGGAAGAACAUAUGUGUAAGUAACUGUGCACAUCUUGACGGUACCUAAUCAGAAAGCCACGGCUAACUACGUGCCAGCAGCCGCGGUAAUACGUAGGUGGCAAGCGUUAUCCGGAAUUAUUGGGCGUAAAGCGCGCGUAGGCGGUUUUUUAAGUCUGAUGUGAAAGCCCACGGCUCAACCGUGGAGGGUCAUUGGAAACUGGAAAACUUGAGUGCAGAAGAGGAAAGUGGAAUUCCAUGUGUAGCGGUGAAAUGCGCAGAGAUAUGGAGGAACACCAGUGGCGAAGGCGACUUUCUGGUCUGUAACUGACGCUGAUGUGCGAAAGCGUGGGGAUCAAACAGGAUUAGAUACCCUGGUAGUCCACGCCGUAAACGAUGAGUGCUAAGUGUUAGGGGGUUUCCGCCCCUUAGUGCUGCAGCUAACGCAUUAAGCACUCCGCCUGGGGAGUACGACCGCAAGGUUGAAACUCAAAGGAAUUGACGGGGACCCGCACAAGCGGUGGAGCAUGUGGUUUAAUUCGAAGCAACGCGAAGAACCUUACCAAAUCUUGACAUCCUUUGACAACUCUAGAGAUAGAGCCUUCCCCUUCGGGGGACAAAGUGACAGGUGGUGCAUGGUUGUCGUCAGCUCGUGUCGUGAGAUGUUGGGUUAAGUCCCGCAACGAGCGCAACCCUUAAGCUUAGUUGCCAUCAUUAAGUUGGGCACUCUAAGUUGACUGCCGGUGACAAACCGGAGGAAGGUGGGGAUGACGUCAAAUCAUCAUGCCCCUUAUGAUUUGGGCUACACACGUGCUACAAUGGACAAUACAAAGGGCAGCGAAACCGCGAGGUCAAGCAAAUCCCAUAAAGUUGUUCUCAGUUCGGAUUGUAGUCUGCAACUCGACUACAUGAAGCUGGAAUCGCUAGUAAUCGUAGAUCAGCAUGCUACGGUGAAUACGUUCCCGGGUCUUGUACACACCGCCCGUCACACCACGAGAGUUUGUAACACCCGAAGCCGGUGGAGUAACCUUUUAGGAGCUAGCCGUCGAAGGUGGGACAAAUGAUUGGGGUGAAGUCGUAACAAGGUAGCCGUAUCGGAAGGUGCGGCUGGAUCACCUCCUUUCUAAGG